rnacentral:misc_RNA from 1 species
GUAUAAGAGACAGGUGAGUCAUCGAAUCUUUGAACGCACAUUGCGCCCCUUGGUAUUCCGGGGGGCAUGCCUGUUCGAGCGUCAUUUAUACCAAUCUAGCCUGGCUAGGUGUUGGGUGCCUGUCCCGUUUCUUGCGCGGACUCGCCCUAAAGGUAUUGGCAGCAGUUAUACCAGCUUCUUGUGCAGCACAUGCGCGUCUUGGAGCCUUGGUAGAUUAGCAUCCAGUAAGCUCUAUUUUAGAACUUGACCUCGGAUCAGGUAAGGAUACCCGCUGAACUUAAGCAUAUCAAUAAGCGGAGG